CCUACGGGUGGCAGCAGUGAGGAAUAUUGGUCAAUGGGCGGAAGCCUGAACCAGCCAAGUCGCGUGAGGGAUUAAGGCCCUGCGGGUCGUAAACCUCUUUUGCCGGGGAGCAGAGGUCCGGACGUGUCCGGGCCGGGAGAGUACCCGGAGAAAAAGCAUCGGCUAACUCCGUGCCAGCAGCCGCGGUAAUACGGAGGAUGCGAGCGUUAUCCGGAUUUAUUGGGUUUAAAGGGUGCGUAGGCGGGCUUUUAAGUCAGCGGUAAAAAUUCGGGGCUCAACCCCGUCCGGCCGUUGAAACUGGGGGCCUUGAGUGGGCGAGAAGAAGGCGGAAUGCGUGGUGUAGCGGUGAAAUGCAUAGAUAUCACGCAGAACCCCGAUUGCGAAGGCAGCCUUCCGGCGCCCUACUGACGCUGAGGCACGAAAGUGCGGGGAUCGAACAGGAUUAGAUACCCGUGUAGUC
rnacentral:rRNA from 1 species